UGGGCCUUUGAGAGCUCAGAAAAGUUUGGAGGCCCCGCCUGUGCCACUGAAGCUCGUUCCGGAAGUUUUAAAAUGCAUCGAAGUCCGCGUCAGCCCAGGGAUGUUUGAGGCUGGAGACUGCUGAAUACCGUAGCCUUCCCAACUGGGAUAGACUGACACCGGUGACUCCCAGAAAAACCAGGAACAGGAUGUGGGAAACUCAUAGGGGGCGCCUGACCUUCUCCAGGAGGAGAAGGCGAGCAACAGUGGCUUCCAGCUCCAACUUCCGACGGGCCUGGUGGGAUCAGGUACAGAGUCAGGUGCAUGGCCUGGCUGGGGCUUGGCCUGGCUGCCCUUUGUGGAACACCAGUCUCCUCACCUGCACAGGUAUUCGUUCGUCUUUACCAUUCCAUACAUAACAUUCGUGAGCCGACGCUGCCGACCCUGCCCUGGGGACAUCGCGGUGGAGGAGACUGGUCCAGUCCCGUGUGGAGCUCACAGUUCAGUGGGGGAGUUAGACGCCUCACCACCACCAGUGGGUCAGCUUCUCUGAUGGAACCCUGAUACACUCUGUAAGCAGAGACUCUGGAUGCCUGUGGAAUUGCUGUUACCUCAAGCUGUCGUUCACGGAGGAAGUUGCAGUGGCUUUCCUCUUCCUCUCUUACAUAAGAAGAGGAUGUUUUUGUCUCCACCCUCCAAAAGGCUGAUACAAAAAGGUGAGAGACCCAGAAGGUGAGUCUUGGAAGAUGAAGAGCUGGAAAGAUUUGGCAGAAGUCACUAAGGACUACUACAUGCCCAAACGCAACAACUCUACACCAUCAAGUGUGUCCACAUCCAUUGAGUAAAAGUACAGAAUACACAUAGAAUUUGCUUACGGCAACAUGAGUUUGGUGGUUUCUUUCAGGGAUGGAGGGAGGGAAGAAGAGAACAGAGGAG